rnacentral:snoRNA from 1 species
UGAUGGCUGUUCUUCUCACUGCGUGGAGCCUUAAGUAGUGGGAUUUUAGUCCAUCAUAUAUCUAAACUGACUUGUUUUCACUCAGGGCACAAUGGGUUAGCUGCCUUUUGAUUUUUGCAGACUCAAACAAUU